UAGACCUACAGGGGAAUGACAAAUAAUCACCAAGUGCACCCAUGCUGCAAUUUCUUUUGUAAUUUCCAUCCCACCGGCUCUGUUGCAUCUGUGAUCAUCUGUGACAAUCACUGUCACAGUGAUUGUCAAAGGAGAGAGUAAUGUCAGAGAGAUUAUCAAUGAUGAUCAUGAGCUCCUGCUUAUAGGGCAAACGCUAUUAUCUUCUCUUGUGCCACUUAAAACAUUUUUGCCAUGUGACUGUAUCAUCACAAGUAUCAGCAGUGCAGCAAUGGUACAAAGAAAGGCAUGCAUCACGACUCUUCUCUUUUCAGUGACAACUGAUUUAAAGGGAGUUGCUGGCAAAGCAGAUGCAAAAUGCAGAUGAAGAACAACCCUGCAUGAACAGCUGAAAUGCCACCAUCAGCUUAUUAGAGGGCCGAGGACCAAAGCAGGAAGCGCAGCAACAGAAGUCACUCAAACCUCAGCAUAUCAGUCCGGCGAUGUGUGGUCAGUCAGGCACCAGAUCAAUACAGAGUUCAGAUUGCUGCCUUGGACACUCACCUUGAGACUUCAGCAGCAUUCAAUCUGCCCCUGCAACUGUGUCCGCAUUGGGCCACAACAGUGUGUCAUCCCUCAUGGUUUCCACCAACCUGUAAAGCAGCAAAAUACAAUAACGUAAAGAUUGCAACCAAAUACACUUAAACACUGAACCUA